CAGGGACAAGGGACUGGACUUGAGAGAAGAUUAAGGGAUGAUGCAGAAAGGCUGAUAGACCCAGGAAGUGAAAACAGGAACUUGGAGGAGUCCAUGAGUUUGAAGAGUGGGUGUGAGCAUGGGAUCUGGGCGUAAUCAUUGUCAUCUCAGGAUGCAGUGUUGUGGCCAAGAUGUGGUGAGAAUGAAGGUGGGAUGUCAAACAAUGAAGCUUCAAGAAAGCGUGAGCAAAAUUGCACGUGUUAGGAAAAAAAAAAGAAAAAGAAAAAAGAAAAAUCUACUGCUAAACUACAUUACCAGCCAUUAAACCAAAAAAUUGGAUCCAAGUGUCUUUCUGACUCUAAGCUCAGAGCUUCUGAACAUUCAUGCUUCAUUUUUGGAUUCCCGAUUUUGUCCUUCAGAAGCUGUGGCCCAGACAGGCAAGAAGCAGGGUUGUUCAGUGGAGAGCCCCUGGGCCUUGGGGUCAGCAGGCCCUGAAGACAAUUUGCCACUUGACUAUUAACAACUGCUGUAAACUAGUAGGUUAUUCUUCCUUGGACCUUGGUUCAU